UGUGGUGGCCCCAAUGCUGGACUCCCAGACCUACUACUCCAACUUCUGGUGUGGGAUCACCCCCCAGGGCUACUACCGCCGCACAGCCGAGUACUUCCCCACCAAGAACCGCCAGCGCCGGGGCUGCUUCCGUGUCCCCAUGGUCCACUCCACCUUCCUUGUAUCCCUGCGGGCUGAAGGGGCAGACCAGCUUGCCUUCUACCCGCCACAUCCCAACUACACUUGGCCUUUUGAUGACAUCAUCGUCUUUGCCUAUGCCUGCCAGGCUGCUGCUACUCAGGAGGCUGAGGCAGGAGAAUCGCUCAAACCUGGGAGACAGAGGUUGUAAUGAGCCAAGAUCGCACCAUUGCACUCCAGCCUGGGUGACAGAGCAGGGCUCCAUCUCAAAAAAAAAAAAAAAAGGGGUCUCGGUCCACGUGUGCAAUGAGCACCGUUAUGGGUACAUGAAUGUGCCGGUGAAAUCCCACCAGGGGCUGGAAGACGAGAGGGUCAACUUCAUCCACCUGAUCUUAGAAGCACUAGUGGACGGCCCCCGCAUGCAGGCCUCAGCUCAUGUGACUCGGCCCUCUAAGAGGCCCAGCAAGAUAGG
rnacentral:sRNA from 1 species